rnacentral:rRNA from 1 species
GCAAUCAAAUUCAAUUAUAGUUGAGUGCACUAGUUCCCUAUGGAUCAUUGAAGUUAAUCAACGUUGGGCGUGGUUAGUAUCCGGAUGGGUGACCAUCUGGACAAUCGCGUGCUGUUGGCU